AAUGCAUAGACCAGCUAAUCUUAAUCCUCCCACUGACUUUACCAAGUCAGAUUAGGGUAGACUAAAAAAAUAAGCUGGUCCUAUUGACAAGAAAUCAAUCCUUCCACUGACUUCACCAAGUCAUGUCGAGGAUAAAGACAAAUCAAACUAGGAGCACUUAAAUCAGUCAAACUGAUUUUCUAGUAAGCAUGGGUCAACCCCAAUCAUUAAGCGAUCUGAUCAAAAUUUGAUUCACCAUGUUGGCCAGGUAAGUG
rnacentral:lncRNA from 1 species